UGUUUGAAAGACUGCAAUGGCUUGUGUUAUUUACAAUUUGACUUAUAAUAAAUAAGUACACGACACGGACGUUUUCCACUCCACAACAUUCAUCAGUGACGCAAAAACAAAACUAUUUAGAAGUGGAAAUCAAUGCACACACUAUUUCGCAGGUAAUGUCGAGUAAACGUUUUGUUUAACUUUAUUUAGAUUCUGUAUAAGUCUAACAAUAUUUUGACAAAAGCCCCAUU
rnacentral:lncRNA from 1 species